GAAUCUAGCUUNAGGUCGGGGACAACCACUGGAAACGGUGGCUAAUACCGGAUGUGCCGAAAGGUGAAAGANUUAUUGCCUAGAGAUGAGCUCGCGUCUGAUUAGCUAGUAGGUGUGGUAAGAGCGCACCUAGGCGACGAUCAGUAGCUGGUCUGAGAGGAUGAUCAGCCACACUGGGACUGAGACACGGCCCAGACUCCUACGGGAGGCAGCAGUGGGGAAUUUUCCGCAAUGGGCGAAAGCCUGACGGAGCAAUACCGCGUGAGGGAGGAAGGCUCUUGGGUUGUAAACCUCUUUUCUCAGGGAAGAAAUCAAUGACGGUACCUGAGGAAUNAGCAUCGGCUAACUCCGUGCCAGCAGCCGCGGUAAUACGGAGGAUGCAAGCGUUAUCCGGAAUGAUUGGGCGUAAAGCGUCCGCAGGUGGCUAUGUAAGUCUGCUGUUAAAGAGUGAGGCUCAACCUCAUAAGAGCAGUGGAAACUACAUAGCUAGAGUGCGUUCGGGGCAGAGGGAAUCCUGGUGUAGCGGUGAAAUGCGUAGAGAUCAGGAAGAACACCGGUGGCGAAAGCGCUCUGCUAGGCCGCAACUGACACUGAGGGACGAAAGCUAGGGGAGCG
rnacentral:rRNA from 1 species